UCCCUGGUGGCUCAGAUGGUAAAGUGCCUGUCUGCAAUGCGGGAGACCUGGGUUCGAUCCCUGGGUAGGGAA
rfam:TPA: Bos taurus chromosome 18, whole genome shotgun sequence.